CCCGAGAUAGCUGAAAAACCUUAAGUUGACGGUUUGAGGUAUUCCGACGUUAGAUACAGCAGGAGGCGACCGUCUUGACCACAUUCGUAAUUUGAAGCGGCCGUGAUUCUCAAGACCAACCGUCGAAAUCAAUCGUUUGGCGACGACAGCCACACGAUCCCAGCACUUAAUCUCGAGAGCCCGUUUAAUCGAACACAUCACAUAGCAACCUGUUAAGAAAUAUUCUUGUCAGUCCAAGUUAUAAACCUAAACGUGGAUUAGACAUGUCAAAAGAUGUUGAAGAGGGAAAUCUGAAUCGAUCUUCUCGCUACAGCAAAAUCAGAUCAUUGUGAAUACAAUAUGAACCAAGCAAUCCGAGAGAGAGCAUAAGCUGAGAAUUCACAAACCUCGUGGGUUCAACGCGGCGUAUCCCCGAGACCCUGCGCUUUUCCAGAGAAAGGUCCAAAGUGGGGCAGCGUUAUGAAGAAACAAAAAAAAUAAAUCCCGUAAAAAGCUGCAUGCUCUCUCUGUUUCGAUCAAUCAGACCAUAUAACUAGGUUCAGACAAUCUGCUCACUGCAAGAUCACUACAUUCAUUACGAACUAGUUUCACUGCCACAUUCAAUCACUGACUUAUUCCUCUACACAAGGAUGUUCACUACGACUGUAUCUGACUGGAAAUCAUUUAGUCUACUAAACCUAAACCUUAAGCCCUAAACUAAGUAAAUACUUUCUGUCAAUAGAAACGUCUGCAUCGUGUAUGACUACAAUGACUUUCAGACCUGCUGCAAUCGACAAAACACAAUGCUUGUGCACUGGUAUGUCACAAACCACAAAGAAUUCACCACUUCAACAAUCUCGCCAGAACCUGAAAUAGCUAGAGUGCAGCUAUGUGCCUGCUUCGCUGUUUUGCGUGUCUCGUACCGCGAAUAGAGUUGCUAUGGGUUAGAUAACCUGAGAAAUUCACACAACCACUAUCGCUAGAACAUCUCAACUAAACAGAGAGAUUCAAUUUAAAACCACGUUAAACAAACAAAUCGCUCGAAGCUCUGAAAUUCCGUAAAUUGUGGUCUUAUUUG
rnacentral:lncRNA from 1 species